UCUCCGUUGGUGAACCAGCGGAGGGAUCAUUACCGAGUUUACAACUCCCAAACCCAAUGUGAACCAUACCUAACUGUUGCCUCGGCGGGGUCACGCCCCGGGUGCGUCGCAGCCCCGGAACCAGGCGCCCGCCGGAGGGACCAACCAAACUCUUUCUGUAGUCCCCUCGCGGACGUUAUUUUUACAGCUCUGAGCAAAAAUUCAAAAUGAAUCAAAACUUUCAACAACGGAUCUCUUGGUUCUG
rnacentral:misc_RNA from 1 species